GCCGGUGUAGCUCAGCUGGUAGAGCAACCGAUUCGUAAUCGGUAGGUCGGGUGUUCAAUUCAUCUCACCGGCA
rnacentral:tRNA from 1 species